CCUACGGGGGGCAGCAGUGAGGAAUAUUGGUCAAUGGCCGAGAGGCUGAACCAGCCAAGUCGCGUGAGGGAAGAAUGUCCUAUGGAUUGUAAACCUCUUUUGUCAGGGAGCAAAGUCCGCCACGCGUGGGUGUUGGAGAGUACCUGAAGAAAAAGCAUCGGCUAACUCCGUGCCAGCAGCCGCGGUAAUACGGAGGAUGCGAGCGUUAAGCGGAAUUACUGGGGGUAAAGGGCUCGUAGGCGGUAUGGCAAGUCAAGGGUGAAAUCCCCGGGCUCAACGGUGGCACUGCCUUUGAAACUGGCAAACUGGAGUGUGUGAGAGGUUAGUGGAAUUCCAGGUGUAGCAGUGAAAUCCGUAGAUAUCUGGAGGAACAUCAGUGGCGAAGGCGACUAGCUGGCACAAAACUGACGCUGAGGAGCGAAAGCGUGGGUAGCAAACAGGAUUAGAUACCCGGGUAGUC
rnacentral:rRNA from 1 species